AGUGAACGCUGGCGGUAGGCCUAACACAUGCAAGUCGAACGGCAGCACAGUAAGAGCUUGCUCUUACGGGUGGCGAGUGGCGGACGGGUGAGGAAUACAUCGGAAUCUACUUUUUCGUGGGGGAUAACGUAGGGAAACUUACGCUAAUACCGCAUACGACCUACGGGUGAAAGUAGGGGAUCUUCGGACCUUGCGCGAUUGAAUGAGCCGAUGUCGGAUUAGCUAGUUGGCGGGGUAAAGGCCCACCAAGGCGACGAUCCGUAGCUGGUCUGAGAGGAUGAUCAGCCACACUGGAACUGAGACACGGUCCAGACUCCUACGGGAGGCAGGAGUGGGGAAUAUUGGACAAUGGGCGCAAGCCUGAUCCAGCCAUACCGCGUGGGUGAAGAAGGCCUUCGGGUUGUAAAGCCCUUUUGUUGGGAAAGAAAAGCAGCAGGUUAAUACCCCGCUGUUCUGACGGUACCCAAAGAAUAAGCACCGGCUAACUUCGUG
rnacentral:rRNA from 1 species